UGCAAGUCGAGCGGUAGAGAGAAGCUUGCUUCUCUUGAGAGCGGCGGACGGGUGAGUAAUGCCUAGGAAUCUGCCUGGUAGUGGGGGAUAACGCUCGGAAACGAACGCUAAUACCGCAUACGUCCUACGGGAGAAAGCAGGGGACCUUCGGGCCUUGCGCUAUCAGAUGAGCCUAGGUCGGAUUAGCUAGUUGGUGAGGUAAUGGCUCACCAAGGCGACGAUCCGUAACUGGUCUGAGAGGAUGAUCAGUCACACUGGAACUGAGACACGGUCCAGACUCCUACGGGAGGCAGCAGUGGGGAAUAUUGGACAAUGGGCGAAAGCCUGAUCCAGCCAUGCCGCGUGUGUGAAGAAGGUCUUCGGAUUGUAAAGCACUUUAAGUUGGGAGGAAGGGCAUUAACCUAAUACGUUGGUGUCUUGACGUUACCGACAGAAUAAGCACCGGCUAACUCUGUGCCAG
rnacentral:rRNA from 1 species